UGUCAGAUCUUCCUCAACAUUAUACUUUUGCAGCAUCUGGUUCGUUCUUCAUCGUUCUCCAGGUUCUUCAAUUCAUAAUUCCUGAGUUCUUUAAUUACUUUUAUUUACAUUCAAGUUAUUUAUUGGAUUCCCGCUUGCAUCAAGUGCUCUAGUCUUUAUAACGCUAGAGUAGUAAUUUAUAGAUUAGACGUGGUGUUUAGUCUUGCAAUUACCUGGAAUUGCACCCAAUCCUGCGGAUUGUUGUGGUAGCCUUAGGGUAGUGACAGCCCUAACGGUCGACGUAUUCCACCACGUUCGGAUCGGUGUUUGUAGGACCGUAGUCAGACCUUCCUAGCCCCCUUCUCAUCUCUUUCCGUGGUUAGUGCUCUGAUGUCCCGAUAUAGAUAAUCUUCAAGUAAAUCUUGAUUCUUAGAUCAACUAGAGAACUCUCAGGAAACUUCCUCUCUUCCCACCAAAAAUAAUUAUAUAGUUAUCCUUGGGUGAUCUUGGAUCUUAAUUAGUACACUCACGUUCCAUGUGGAAAAUCGAUACUCUGGAAUACUCCCGGGUGAAGGCUACAUCGGUAUCCGUGCGCUUGCGGAUUUUUCUGUUUGCGUUUAAAAUACCCAACAAGCUUUCUGGCGCCGUUGCCGGGGAACGGUAGCUGUGCUAGUUUCGAACCAAGUCGCCCAUAUAUCCUUUUUUCUUUUCUUUUUUUACCACACUCACCUUAUCACUUUCACCAUACCACAUGGAUUUCACUCUAGGCAUUAAUGAGCAUGGAAUUUAUUUCAUAGCCACUUCAUUUACUCCAUGCUCAUGUGCAACAUCUUCACAAUCCAUUGGUCUCUCCAACAUCACCACAUUCGAGAUCUCCAACCCCCACUUCCUUUCUAUUUAUAAAAACUUUAAAAGGGCGGUUGUCGAUGCAUAUGUUUAUAAUAAAUUUUGCAGAUCUCGUUGAGUUGAUCUUGAUAUAGGUCAGCGUUGGAGGGGAAACCACUUCACUGACAUAAAUUGAUGGUUUCCCAAGGACAAG
rnacentral:lncRNA from 1 species